UACGUAGGGGCAAGCGUUGGUCCGGAUUUAUUGGGCGUUAAAGAGCGUGUAGGCGGCCAAACAGGUCAGCUGUGAAAACUCGAGGCUCAACCUCGAGACGUCGGUUGAAACCGUAUGGCUAGAGUCCGGAAGAGGAGAGUGGAAUUCCCGGUGUAGCGGUGAAAUGCGCAGAUAUCGGGAAGAACACCCGUGGCGAAGGCGGCUCUCUGGGACGGUACUGACGCUGAGACGCGAAAGCGUGGGGAGCAAACAGGG
rnacentral:rRNA from 1 species